AUAAUGACGGAUCCGACCGUCCCGGCCAGCGGCGACGGCGAGCUGCCUUGGGGCCUGGCACUCCGGCAGAGUCGCAGAGAACAAACGGCUGCCACAGUGCCACGGCUUGCUCUGCGGCGAGCCUUGGGCACCGAGGCGCCUCCCAUCCUCUAAGCUCCAGGAUUCUCAAGUUUUCAAGUUGUUGCGCAGUUCCUUCUUCUCGGGGAAAUCGAUCCGGAGAGAAUGGAAGAGCCGGAUUGCCCAGAAGGUUCCGUUCCCGACCGCGGAGGAGAGCGGCGGACGGCUUCCCUGCCGCUGCCGGCCGCCUUCCUCGAGUUCCUCAGCGAGAACGGCCUGGACCCUGCGGUGUACUCAAUGGCAGCCACCAUCCCGCGCUACAUAAGGCUAAAACCAGGCAUGGAGUCCAAGAUCGCAGAGAUUGAAGCCGAGUUGAAGUGUGCCCUUGACAAGGUUUUAUGGCUGCCUGGGUUCUAUGCGAUUCCGCCGGAAAUUCAGAUUGCUGGCUCCAAGGCUUAUCAGCAAGGGAAGAUCUAUGGAAUUGAUGCCGCUUCUGGAGCUGCUAUAUUAGCACUUGAUGUUCGACCAGGAAAUCAUGUUCUUGACCUCUGUGCUGCCCCAGGUGCAAAGCUUUGCAUGCUCGCAGAUACGCUUGGAACCACUGGUUCUCUGACUGGUGUUGAUGUUGCAAAGCACCGCCUUGCGGCCUGUCGUACAAUGUUGCAGAAGUAUUCUCUUGGUGACCGUACUCGGCUCUUUGUUGCUGAUGGAACUUUGUUUUCCCUUUUACCUGUGAACUCCAGGAUGCAAAGAAUGGAAGGGUCAAUUGGCGUUGAAGAAAAUGGAAGCAUAUUCCCAGAAUGGACUUCAAGGAGAUCAUGGAAGGAUCGGCAGAAGACUAGGAAAGCAAAUGCAAAUGGUCAACAGCACCUACUGGCAGCUUCAGAACCUGAACUGAUAUACUAUGGUAAACAUUCAGGAUUAGUUGGACAGUGUAAAUCUGAUGUCUUUUGUCCAUCAGUUGAUGAUGAAGCUUGUACAUCUGGCUAUGACAAGGUCCUAGUGGAUGCGGAGUGUACUCAUGAUGGAUCCAUAAAACAUAUUCAAAAAUUUGAAUUCUGGGGAUGGAAAAGUCUAGAUCGCCGCGUACUUGAUGCUGAAAGAACUGAGAACCUUCUUCAGCUUCAGUUACAUCUCCUCACAAAUGGUUUUAAAUUGUUGAAAACCGGUGGAUCACUUGUAUAUAGUACUUGCAGCUUGACAGUUGCACAGAAUGAAUGCGUGGUUCAACAAUUCCUUUCAACACACCCUUCUGCAGAUUUGCAGAAGAUCAAUUUGGCCGACAAUUGGCCCUGCAGAAGUGGCGGCAUCCCCAAAACACUGCGAUUCGAUCCUGCAGUUUCACAAACCAGUGGUCUUUUUGUUGCCAAGUUCUGUAAACUACCGACUUAAAGCAUUUUCUGGUCUAUCUUCCUGGACCAUUCAUGUCCUCUCACAUGUAAAACUGGGUUUUCCUGUCAGCAACUAAAUUACAAUUUCUGUUCUUGCAGUUGGAUUGGUCAGUCAAAUACCCAAACGAUAGCAAACCAGGUACUCAAAUGGCUGAUGUUAUCGGCAUGAAACCAAAUCAGUUCAAAGAGAUUGGUGUUCUUUGUCCUCCUAAACGAUGUUCUCUCUCCCAUGAUUCAAAUUAUGACUCAUCAACUCGAUUCUCUGGAAAUUAGUAUAGCUUUGAAUAUCUCCAUUAUUCUCUUGUAGAUAUAUAUCCAAUAUAUACUUCUUCACUCGUUAGGCAUUUUGCUCGAUCCCAAACCUGGUUGUCAUGCAAAUAUGCUAUAUAUCGUUAAAAACA